GACAGAGGCCACGAGCGUUAGGCGGAAUCACUGGGCUUAAAGCGUGUGUAGGCGGAAGCGUAAGUGUCUUGUGAAAUCCCACGGCUCAACCGUGGAACUGCUGGGCAUACUGCGUUUCUUGAGCCGGCCAGGGGUCACCGGAACAAGCGGUGGAGCGGUGAAAUGCGUAGAUAUCGCUUGGAACGCCGACGGUGAAAACAGGUGACUGGGGCCGCGCUGACGCUGAGACACGAAAGCCAGGGGAGCGAACGGG
rnacentral:rRNA from 1 species